rnacentral:tRNA from 1 species
GCGGGGAUGGCCCAGCCCGGUAAGGCGCAGGAUUGCUAAUCCUGUGCUCUUUUGAGCUCGGGGGUUCAAAUCCCCCUCCUCGCG